GCGGAUGUAGCCAAGUGGAUUAAGGCAGUGGAUUGUGAAUC
rnacentral:tRNA from 1 species